GCGGAGGCGGCGGCAAAGGUGGCGGGACGGGCUCUCAGCUGGCUCCCUCCCUCCGCGCCCUGCGCCCGCCGCCUCCUCCCGCCCUCCGGCUCCCUCCUUCUUCCCGGGCUCCAAUCGCCACCUUCCACCCGCUCCCCGCCCGCGCCGCCUCCUUUCUCCCUCCUCUCCUCCUACUGCCCUUCCCGCGAACGGCUCAGCGAGACUUGCAGACGGAGCUGGCAGCCAGAGCCGGGGAGGGAUUCAUGUGGGAAGACAAUCCUGGGAAGUCUCAGACCGAGAGACUGCAGAGGGACAAGGGCGGAGAGAAACGCGUAAUCUGUACGGACUCCCAAAAGAAGGUGGACACAGAUCCAGAUGAUACAGAGGACAGCUGUGAGGCCUUGGCUUCUCGGACGCCUCUUGGAUACUGCAGGAGCCGAAGGCGGGAUCUAGUCUGAACCAGGCCUGACCUGGAGUGGUCGCCGGACUUAGACACCUGUUACUGGUGUCCCAGGUUUUAGGACACCGCUUCCUAAUGCUGUGCCCCACUGGAGCUCUCUGUGUCGUCUCUUCUCCCAAAGGACUCAGAGCUGAGGACCCAGAGAAGGGAGCGCAAAACUCCCGCCAAUCAACGGCUUUAGCCAUCGCCCAGGUGUUCUUGGGUCUUGCCAAUGGAAGUUCUUCUGAUGGUGUCAUUUCAUUCCCCCUUUUAAAAUCUGAUAUUGGAUAGGAACGUCUGGAAUUAAACUAGUGGGCCAUGGUGCUAGUUCGAGUUGUGACACUCCGGAGGGAGGUGGAGGGGAGGGAUGUGGUCUUUGAACCUAUUGCCUUUCCAGAUCCUAAACAGUUUUGCUGCUACCCUCCCCGCUGAAAUUUACAUACUGGAAGUUGGUGGAGCCGGAGUAUCUCCACAGUGAGAAGUGGGAAAUGCCCAGAGUUCAAGGCUAGCAUAGGUGCCCAAAGCAACCCAGCACUGGCCGCUCAAGCUUUCUGGGUCUGCCUGCCUGUCUGCCCCAUCUCAGCAGAGUUCUGUGCUCAUCCUGUCUCUAGCAAAGGCUGGGUUGCCGGUCUGGAUCUGACUACUGGGGAAUGGACACCUGAUUCUAACCUGGCAGCUGGGAAGAAGCUGGAUCUGACUGCCCAGUGGACACUUGACAGCAGGAGACUAGGGGAAGAGAUGAAGAGGCUGCACUGGCUGUGAGGAGCAGAGAGUGGGACCUGGAAGGGAAACAGACGUGAAGAGGGCAAACAACCUUCUCAUUGUCCACAACCAACUGUUGAAAACCCACUCAGCGGUGGGUCUCUCUAAAGCCCACUUCCUUGCUACUAGCCAAUCAAGUGAGCUGCUAUGCCACUGCUGCAGCACACUGAACCAAAGCUCCCGCACAGCAGGCCUAGGGCUUGCACAGCAGGACCAGGUUCUCAUUGUCUACAGGCAUCCUGACAUCCUACAACAGGGAAGCUUGGCCUCUUUGGAGCUGAUCCUUACAUAAAGGUGCAGAACAAAGCAGACAUCAAGCCACUAUGUUGCAAGAGAAGCAAGAACCUAUUCAACAGUUCUUUGCAUCAUCCUUUAUUCUUGAGGGAAGCCAAGAAACCAACCCCCAUAAACAGAAAGCCACAGUCUAGGUCACAUUAGAAACCCAAGCACCAGUAUGGGGUUCCAGUGAAGGAAAUGUACAGAAACCUCACACCCCAUCAAGGCUAAAGACCUUUAACUCAACUCUCCCCAUGCCACCACAUCCAUCAACUGAAACACUGACAGCAGCAGGAGCAGGCAGACGGGCACGGAACUGGUUUGCUUCAGAAAAGCAGUGAGUCCUCAGGCCACAGCUUCCGGUGGCCAACAAAAUGCCUGUAGGAACAGGUGUGCGACUUACACAGAUUGCUUUUGGAAGGCUAAGUGUCAUCAAGAACACAAGAUGACCAGAGUGAUAAGGUUUUAAAAGAAUGUGGAUAUAUUUGAACCUCUAGAAAGGACAGAUCUUAGAAGACUGGAAUUUCCCACAACCGCUAAGUGCUUCCUCAUCCAGGAAAUGAUCCGUUCUAUUCAUGCGUCUAUUGGAGGUCACACCAUUUCCCGCACUACCUGGUAUAAAAUAACUGAUCACUCCCCCAACCAAAGCUUUUCAAACCACGAUUGAGCUUCCCAUUUAUUUUGGUCCCCAAGCAAUACUACUUGUUAGUGGCCUGUAGACUCAUUCCCAACUACCCCCUUGGGGGGUAAACAAACAAACAAACAAAAAACAAUUCCCUCUAGGCUGGCCCCAGUUAAGUCAGAAUUAAAGUAGAAGGGCUGGCAGCCUCCUGGAGACUAAAAUAACUUGAGAGACUAAAUCUACCUUUCCAAGGAUGGAAAAUUUAUUCAGAUGAUGUUUGGGGAAUUCAUAGGUGCCAUCACAGGGUACGAAUUAAAAGGUAGAAAUCUUAAAAGGUAGAAAUCGCACGCUUCCUUGUGCCUUUCUCUACUGCCUAACUUAUGAGACUGAGUCUGUCACUACAUUCCUGCUGAACGGAGCCCCAGGCACUAGCCACACAGGUAGUAUCCUCACACACUUGGUAUCCUCAGAACACAUUACAACUUCCCCAUUCAAAAGCAGUAGCCAUAUCUCUCAGGCUACGAUGGUGAUUGGUUCUCCAGUUACUUCAAUACUUUAAAAGGCUGCAGCAGCAUGCAAAACAAUUUCAUUUCAUUAAAAAAAGUUAAGAAAGGUC